rnacentral:rRNA from 1 species
GACGGACGCUGGCGGCGUGCUUAACACAUGCAAGUCGAACGGAAAGGCCCUGCUUUUGUGGGGUGCUCGAGUGGCGAACGGGUGAGUAACACGUGAGUAACCUGCCCUUGACUUUGGGAUAACUUCAGGAAACUGGGGCUAAUACCGGAUAGGAGCUCCUGCUGCAUGGUGGGGGUUGGAAAGUUUCGGCGGUUGGGGAUGGACUCGCGGCUUAUCAGCUUGUUGGUGGGGUAGUGGCUUACCAAGGCUUUGACGGGUAGCCGGCCUGAGAGGGUGACCGGCCACAUUGGGACUGAGAUACGGCCCAGACUCCUACGGGAGGCAGCAGUGUGGAAUAUUGCACAAUGGGCGGAAGCCUGAUGCAGCAACGCCGCGUGCGGGAUGACGGCCUUCGGGUUGUAAACCGCUUUCGCCUGUGACGAAGCGUGAGUGACGGUAAUGGGUAAAGAAGCACCGGCUAACUACGUG